GGGGCGGAGCCAUCCUGGAAGCGCGAAUCUGGUACCGGGACUUGGGGAGCGAGGGAUGCAACAUGGUGCAUCUGGGAGGCCUGCUAACUGGCUAACUUCUCCGGCGUUCCUCCCGGCCGAGGCGUGGGCACAGAAUAGCGCAGUUUGAAGACAUCAUUUUCCAGUUUUGGAGCCGACUAAUGAACUAGUUCUUAAGUGAAAGGCAUUUAACACGACUGUGCAUCUACAGGUACUAGGUUUCCAAGAUGCCUUUCCAGACUAAAACCCACACAUGUGAGCCGCUGGCCGGACAAACAUCUGGCACCUAACGUGGGGCUGAAAAACAGCAGAGGACAUUUGGAAGAAACACUGCUGGUUUGGAGCUCCAUAGAAGAAGAAAAUAAUUAAAGGAAAUUCAUACCAGAGAAGGAAGCUGCAGCUCCUCUCCUCUGGAUCUUUAUGACCACACCAGGAAGCAUUGUGAUCUGCAGUCACUGCCAACCUGCAGGAUAACACAGCUUGUUCCUCUGGGAACUGCCCUGCAGUGUCUGCAUACAGCCACCCUCGACCUGUCUGCCUGGUCUUUGCAACCUCUAGUGGCUGUUGUUCCACAAUGUGUUGUGAAGGCAUGCAUGUAAAAUAGUCCCUAUCUGGAUGGACCUACGCCUGUGGCAGGAAGUUCACUGGUCAAUUACCUGCUGACUGAAGUGGCCUAUUUUCUUCUGACCCCCUGCUUCUCUCUUCCCCUCUCCGCCCUGAAAGCUGUUUGGGCAUAGGGAGGUCUUGACCUGAGGAAACCAUCUUGGGUAACCAAGGCAAGGAAAGGGAAUAUGCAACACCUAGGAGAUUUCAGCAAACAGUAGAAUCAUGCCAACGUAAUCUGUGUUAAAAUGCUUGGAAUGUGGGAGCCGCCGGUGAUGUCUGUUGUCUGUGUGUCUCCAGUAAUCCUUUCUUUUUUAAGUGCAGCAAAGCCAAGCCUGGAAACCAGGCCAAGCGCCUGCCACUUACCUUAAAUUUAUCAGCCACUUUGAGAUUAAAACCCCUGAAAGCUGCUGCACAGUGAAAGCAAGGCCUCCUUCACAUUAAAGGCAAAUCGCAACUCUGG
rnacentral:lncRNA from 1 species